UUUCAGACAGAAAUUUGUAAGGAGAAGACUGAUUACACUACCUCUUGUUGAGCCAAAAGUCUGGAACUGUUGAGGGCUGCAGCAGCUAUACUCCAGCUUAAUAAACUGAGUCCAACCUACAGUCUACCUGCAAAGUGACACCAUCAGCCCUGCUAAAUGGGAACACAUCUUUAUAAGUGUCAUGAAGAAGAUACACAAAACCAAGAAAAUCUUAUCAGUGAGGAGUGGAUGGAUGAAAACCCCUGCUGAAUACUGUAUCCAGGCAUAAAGAUCACAUGCAGUUGUUGACUUAGCAGUACACUGACUCUUCAAUAGAUCCUCUCCAGAAGAUUCUGGUUAGAAGAAAUAGUUCAGCUAAGCUUCAAACUGUUUCAUUCCAUUUAGGCAAGCAAUGCAGAGUUAGCCUAUGUCGCCCUUGUAGCUUCACUAUACCUUUUAUAAAUUUAAAGGGAGUCAAGAAUUUUGUUUCCUCUGUAGUUACAACAUUAGAGACUUUGUCUGAUGUGUAUGAUGAUUUUGUUUGGUUCGUUUCUGUUUACUUGUUUCUGUACAAAGAUAAAAAGAUUUCUGUUUUGUAAAGACAAACUGCUCACAACUUCUUGUAUUUCCAUUCAUUCCUUCCAAGCCAAGUAUGUCGUCUGAGUUUCUUUAACAUCAGACAUCUGGUUGCCAGGUUGUCCAGCUGUGACCAGAACUGGUGUUUUACCUAAAGCAUAAUUUAUUCUCAACAUGACCUGCUCUAACACUUAAGUACCACAAAACUGUAAUUUAGUUUUCUGAACGCUAUUGCAGUCUGUGUGUUUCAUAGUUUAUAGAAAUGGAAGGACAGCCAUCAAUAUAACAGUUAGUCCAUACUUUUAAAGAAUUAGCAUCAGGACUUCUAACAUUUUGGAUU